AGUCAGGUUGUAUAGGGCUAAAAAUUCAUCUGUCCUCAUGUGUUUCAUUGAUGCCUCUAAGGCUUUUGAUCGAGUGAACCACAGAAAACUUUUUGAUAAAUUGAAGACACGGGGAGUUCCUCAAUACAUCGUGAGGAUUCUCUCUUACUGUUCCAGUCAGGAGGCUAUUGAUUGCCUCCCUCUCCUCCAGAGCAACCGACAACAACACGCGGCAACAGAUGGUGGGGCCCCACGGAUCUCGGCGUCACGGACUCAGUGGGAUUGUUGUACGUUAGGAGACAGAAAACACCGAGACAGCUCGAGGAGGGCUGUAGUCCAGUAUUUCUCACCUAGCACUGGAAUUAAAAUUGGACUGUCAAACUUCUUUAGAAAAUCAUCAUCGCUGUUCCUUUAUAAACGCUGUGGUGUUUGUUUUAUUCCUCACA
ensembl:lncRNA